rnacentral:lncRNA from 1 species
AGGAUGCAACCUUGGCUGAGCAGCAAAGAGACGAGGUUCGUGCCUUUUAGUUUGGUAUUUUUCUUGAAAAAGGCAAUUUUGGUUAGAGAUCUUCUGGAAAUCAACUGCCUCAACUUUUGAGAACCUACUACAUUUGAAUAAUCCUAUCCAAGUUGGUUUAGUUUGAAUUUAAUGUUACUCCCUGUAAUUGAAUUGGGAGUUUGAAUCUGAUUAUUGUUGAGUUCCAUUUGUUAUUACUAAGAGAAUGGGAAGUGAGACAUGUGGGGCCGUUUGGUAACGUUCUCGUUUCCUGUUUCAUGUUUCGGUUUCCUGUUUCUUCUUUUUUUAGAACAAGAAACAAGAAUAUGUUUGAUAACUGUCUAUGUUUCUUGUUUCUUGAAAAAAAAAAGAAACGGAAACAGAAAAUGUGUUUGAUAACUGUUUUUUGUUUCCUGAUUUUCUUUGAAAUUUAUUUUUUAUUUUAUUCACAUUUAAUUCAGUUAAACAUCAAACAAAAAUAUAUGUUCUCCAUUAAACAUAAAAAAAUAAAAUCAUCAAACCUAGAUAUGAAGGUCUUCUUAUAAUCUUAUGGAGAAGUAGAUGAAGAUUGAGAUCUGAAGAAUAUUGCUGACGAGAGAAAGACGAAAACCCACGACGUAAAGGAGAACUGAAACUCACGAAAAAGAGAGACAAAAACUCAAGGCUAAAACACAAAUCUGACAAAAACCCACAAAUUUGUCGAAAAUCCACUGCGAAAACACAAUUCACGCAAAGAGGAAGAAGAAAGAGGAAGAGGAAAACACAGAUACAGCGAAGAGGAAGACGUCGUGUAGAGGAAGACGAUGAGAGGCGAAGAGGAAGGCAACAAAGACGAUGAGAGGAAGAGGAAGAGGAUGGUUAUUUGGAGAAGACGAUGGAGAUAAGGGGAAGAAAAAGGAAACCACGUGGGGAGUGGUUAUUUGGAGAAGAAGAUGGAAAUAAGAGGAAGAAAAAGGAAAUCACAAGAGGAAAAUGAAAUAGAAAAAGAAUUGAAAAGAAGGAAAAGGAAACCAAUAAAAAGAAUUGAGAAAAAACAUAAGGAAACCAAUAGAAACAAUUGAGAAAAAGAAAAAAGAAACCAAUAAAAAUAAUUGAGAAAUGGGAAUAGGAGAAACUACUUUUUGGUGUUCCUAAUAAUUCCUUAUAAAAUGAGAAAUGUUUCUACUCUUUUUUAGAACAAGAAACAUGGAACAUUACCAAACACCUUCGUUUCUUGAAAAAAAACAAGAAAGAGGAAACAGGAACGUUACCAAACGGGCCCGUAAUAUGCAUAGAUAUAAAUCUGUAUAUACACAUUAUUUAUGUAUAUAUGUAUAUGUAUACACACAC